UACGGAGGAUGCAAGCGUUUAUCCGGAAUGAUUGGGCGUAAAAGCGUCCGCAGGUGGCUAUGUAAGUCUGCUGUUAAAGAGUGAGGCUCAACCUCAUAAGAGCAGUGGAAACUACAUGGCUAGAGUGCGUUCGGGGCAGAGGGAAUUCCUGGUGUAGCGGUGAAAUGCGUAGAGAUCAGGAAGAACACCGGUGGCGAAAGCGCUCUGCUAGGCCGCAACUGACACUGAGGGACGAAAGGCGUGGGGAGCAAACAGG
rnacentral:rRNA from 1 species